rnacentral:lncRNA from 1 species
CUAUUGUUCCUGCGGCCGGGCGGGAGCGCUCCGGGGGUCGCCCCUCUCCUCCGGCCGACGCCAAGCGCUCCCCACCCGCCCCGCCGCCCGUAAUCAGCGUAUUUGCCGCCCUUUGUGAACGUUUUCGAAGCGUCUCCUUCGAACGUUUUGGAACGCCGCCGUGGAAGAAGGGCAGGUGGUCUGUGGCAGGUGGUCUGUCAUGUAUCUGUUUUCCAAGAGAAGAAACUGAGCCGCGGAGAGUAAAGGUGACUUGUCCAAGGUCACAUACCAAGAAAGGGGCAUGAGCAGGAUUGGAACCCAAGUUCUGACUCCAGAACUUGGAGAACACAGAGAUGUUGGGUGAAUCGCUGAAUCUCUAGGACUUCCUCCCCACCCGCGAUCCCAGCUACAGACCCAAAGAAUCCAGUGAAGGCCCUGGAUCCCUCAGCAUUGUCCCACACGAAUCCAGCCAAAGGCCUAGAGCCCACAGCAAUGUCUCCUGCAAGUCCAUACCACCAGAAAGGACCAAUGGAAGUGGACGCUAGAAAGUCUGCGACAACUUGGUGAAGGAUCUGUGCCAGAAGGCUGAAAGAUCUGCACUGGAGCCAGGAAACAACGCUCAAGACAAAGGGGAAGACCAGAGCUCCCCAGAAGAGAGCAGCAGCCAUUCCCAGCCGACAGAACAGCCAAGUUCAUAUCAGGAAAAUAAGCCACAACAAAGUUCCUCCUCGGAAAUCAGCAGCAUGCAGGCUUUCCCUCAAGUUCUCCUUUUAUGUCGUUCAGACAACAAUCCUCAGAUGAAUCAAAGGCCUCAUCAAGUACCAAGUACCCAAGGCUACAAAGUUAGAAAGUUGGAGUCACCCAGUUCAUUCUAACCCCAAAGCCCUACCAUGUGUAUCACAAGCAUGAGAAGAUGCGAGAGCAUCAUUGUCUGAUAGAAGAUUGAGCCAAGAUUGGCACCAUCAAGACUAUACCCAGACUACUCACAAGCACUGAUAUAGAAUCAGCCUAGGUACCCAUCAACAAAUAAAUGGCUAUGGAACAUCACACACACACACACACACACACAUUCAGCCAUUAAGAAUGGAAUCCUGUCAUUUGCAGCAAAAUCUUAAGGACAUUAAAUGAGAAAAAAAAGACACAAAAAGCCAAGUACCACAUGUUCUCUCACACAUGUGAAUGCUAAAAAGAGUUAACCUGAAAGUAGAAUAGUGAUUACUAGGGCUUGAGAAGGGAGCAGGGGCCAGAGUGGUGGAAAAAAAGAUAGUUAAAUGUGAUAAAUAUACGCUCUAUGCAAGAAUGGAAAUAUCACAUUGGCUCUCAU